rnacentral:rRNA from 1 species
GCGGCCAAAGGAAGCGAUUCCGGCGGGGGAUGGGCAUGCGGCGCAUUAGCUAGUCGGCGGGGUAACGGCCCACCGAGGCGACGAUGCGUAGGGGUUCUGAGAGGAAGGUCCCCCACACUGGUACUGAGACACGGACCAGACUCCUACGGGAGGCAGCAGUGAGGAAUAUUGGUCAAUGGGCGGGAGCCUGAACCAGCCAAGUCGCGUGAGGGAAGACGGUCCUACGGAUUGUAAACCUCUUUUGCCGGGGGGCAACGGGGUCCUUGCGAGGGCCCAAUGAGAGUACCCGGAGAAAAAGCAUCGGCUAACUCCGUGCCAGCAGCCGCGGUAAUACGGAGGAUGCGAGCGUUAUCCGGAUUUAUUGGGUUUAAAGGGUGCGUAGGCGGGCUGUUAAGUCAGCGGUCAAAUGUCGGGGCUCAACCCCGGCCUGCCGUUGAAACUGGCGGCCUCGAGUGGGCGAGAAGUAUGCGGAAUGCGUGGUGUAGCGGUGAAAUGCAUAGAUAUCACGCAGAACUCCGAUUGCGAAGGCAGCAUACCGGCGCCCGACUGACGCUGAGGCACGAAAGCGUGGGUAUCGAACAGGAUUAGAUACCCUGGUAGUCCACGCAGUAAACGAUGAAUGCUAGCUGUCCGGGACUUCGGUUCUGGGUGGCACAG